UCGAAAAACAAAACAAAACAAAACAAAACAAAACAAAACAAAACAAAACAAAACAAAACAAAACAAAACAAAACAAACAAACAAAACAAAACAAAACAAAAAAAAAUCUCUCUUUGACUUUGUUCUCAUGGCCACAAGAGAAAUACUUGCAAACAACAAACCUAAGAUUUCUCCUCUAUCUACCCAUGGUGAGAAUAAAAAAUGGGUUGAGAAUUGUAUCUCAUCCAGAAUCAGAAGUUACUAUCAGGAGUUCUCCUAUUGGAUGCUGUUUGCAGAUAAUGCUCUGACAUCCUGGGCUCAGGAUCAGUCUAACCAGAGCCCCAAAGGUCAAACUUGGAUGUCUUGAAGGGCCAAGAUGGAAACACACACGUUGGAAGAGGCUGGUAUAAGAAAAGAAAGAAGGACUGGAACCAAUACAUUUAAGAAUGUAUGUUUCCAUACUUCAAAAAAGUGCCCAAAUUAUAUCUUGAAAAGUAAAAACCACCACGGCGUGGGUCAGAACUUAGCUGCAGGUCACCAUUGUGACAUCUCGUGGACAGGACCCAAGAUCCCUGUUUGACCUAUCUUUGUAUCCUACCUUCCUUGGAUGGUUUGACAGUCUACACAUCUGCAGGAUUCUGGUGGCCUUUUCCACACUGAAACUUUACCUCCCUCCUGCUGGAACCACAGAAUCAGUGCUUCACCAUUCCUGCCUUGCUGGGUUCCGAGUCAUUAUCUCCUUCCAGGAGAUGGCCACAUGACUAGCUGUAAUUUGACAUGGUGGGUGCUAGGUCUAAAUUAUAGGAGGGAAUACUACCAGAGGAAUGUGUGCAAAACUUAAAAAGGCUUAAUGAGUAAAACCAAACUAGUAUUUUAUUUAUGACAUAAAAUAUGUAUUUCUUAUUUCUAAUCUGGUUCUUAUUUGAGGCCACACAAAUCCACCAAACCCAAUGAGAAGAAGGUGAUCACUAAAAUCUAUACUAACUGUCAUAUUCUUUUCUUCUUUGCUUUCUUAGAUAAGUCAACAAGUCAAUAAAUAGGAGGUGAAGUAGCCAUUGAUUUUAUAAGUCCCCUGUAUUACUUUUCUGUCCUGUCACUUUUUAGGAGGCCAUCAAUAACCCCAGGAACUGUUAUUGCUAAUCUUUGGUGUGGGAUCCUUAAUACAAUUACAUCUAUGAUAAUAACUCCACUUAUAUUUAAUCUUUUAAACCCUUCCACUAGGAUGGCAAUAUAUAAGAUGGGAAGUUAGUCAUGUCUGGUACUGAUAACAGAUUAGAGAGAAAGCACUGGACCAAACACACGAGGACAACCUGGUACAGGAAGGAACUAGACCACACAUGCUGUAAACAUGGGAGGAAAGGAAUGAUCAUCUCCUCUAUAGCGGACUGUGCCCAGGGAACAGCACUCACCUCAAUUGCAUUGGUAUACUGCUCCAGCCUGCUGUCAAUCUUGGAGACUACUGCUGCUUGAUGAGUAGAUUUGACACCACUGCCAAAUAAGCACAGACAUGAAAAUAAGAGACAAAAGACAUCUCUCCAUGUGUGUGACAGCUGAUGAGUCUCAACGGAACAGUCAAUUGUAUUUACCUUUUCUGCACAGACUUAUUCAAAAAUUCUGCUCGUUCCUCUAUCUAGAAAUAGAAAAGAAGAAGCCUUGUGAAUAUGCAGAGGGAACAGUAUGUGCCAAAGUCCUAACAGUGGGAAGCUCUGAAGCCUUAUAGAAUGAGACAUGGCUAAAUGGAGACUACACCGAUGUGCCUUUGAAAAAGCUUCAGAACACUCCUGGAAGGCAAGGCGUGCCCAGAAUGGCCCAAGUUUCUCCUUUGGUCCUGCUCUGUGGCCUGUAGCUUAUUCACAGUGCCCUUCAACUACACCACUAUCAUUCCUGAACCUAGUAAAUCAAAACACCACAGAGCAUGUGAGGGCAUUACAUUGACGGCGGGCACAGCACCCAGAAGGGGAGAAAACUAGGAAUAAUGUAUUUGACACUGGGGAAGAAAGAAUAGGAUUGGAAGAGGAUAAAGAAUGCAGAGACAGGGGUUGGGGGGAGACAUUAAGUUUUGGAAGCAAGAAACAGCUAGUAAGAUGGUCUUACAUAAUAUAGACCAAUGACAAACUUCAUAUACUUAAAUCCAAAUCUCCUGUGAUGGCAUUUGGAAUGGGUCCUUUGCAAGGUAAUUGUGUCAGGAGGGUAGAGUCCUCAUGAAUGGCUUUAGCAUACUGAUUAAAAAGACAAGAGAGCUUGC